rnacentral:rRNA from 1 species
GACGAACGCUGGCGGCGUGCUUAACACAUGCAAGUCGAACGGAAAGGCCCUGCUUUUGUGGGGUGCUCGAGUGGCGAACGGGUGAGUAACACGUGAGUAACCUGCCCUUGACUUUGGGAUAACUUCAGGAAGCUGGGGCUAAUACCGGAUAGGAGCUCCUGCUGCAUGGUGGGGGUUGGAAAGUUUCGGCGGUUGGGGAUGGACUCGCGGCUUAUCAGCUUGUUGGUGGGGUAGUGGCUUACCAGGGCUUUGACGGGUAGCCGGCCUGAGAGGGUGACCGGCCACAUUGGGACUGAGAUACGGCCCAGACUCCUACGGGAGGCAGCAGUGGGGAAUAUUGCACAAUGGGCGGAAGCCUGAUGCAGCAACGCCGCGUGCGGGAUGACGGCCUUCGGGUUGUAAACCGCUUUCGCCUGUGACGAAGCGUGAGUGACGGUAAUGGGUAAAGAAGCACCGGCUAACUACGUG